rnacentral:rRNA from 1 species
UACAGAGGUCUCAAGCGUUGUUCGGAUUCAUUGGGCGUAAAGGGUGCGUAGGCGGCGCGGUAAGUCGGGUGUGAAAGCCCUGGGCUCAACCUAGGAAGUGCACUCGAAACUGCAAAGCUGGAGUCCUGGAGAGGAAGGCGGAAUUCUCGGUGUAGAGGUGAAAUGCGUAGAUAUCUGGAGGAAUACCGGUGGCGAAGGCGGCAUCCUGGACCGACAUUGACGCUGAGGAGCGAAAGCCAGGGGAGCAAACGGG